rnacentral:rRNA from 1 species
UACGUAGGGUGCGAGCGUUGUCCGGAAUUAUUGGGCGUAAAGAGCUUGUAGGCGGUUUGUCGCGUCUGCUGUGAAAAUCCGGGGCUCAACCCCGGACUUGCAGUGGGUACGGGCAGACUAGAGUGUGGUAGGGGAGACUGGAAUUCCUGGUGUAACGGUGAAAUGCGCAGAUAUCAGGAGGAACACCGAUGGCGAAGGCAGGUCUCUGGGCCACUACUGACGCUGAGAAGCGAAAGCAUGGGGAGCGAACAGG